GUUAUACUUUAAUGGAUGAAUUUCGUCAAUGUUUCUCAUAUUCUUUAAACUCCGGAAUGAACUCCCAGACAUUUUUAACUGAUGCAUCAAUCGGUCGAGGUGGAAUCAUUGGUAUGACCAGAGAACAAGUCUAUCAGUUCUGUCCUAAUCGUCAAUCGCUGAUGUCCUGUAUGAAAAAUAAGAUGAACAUGUGUCCAGAUGGUGUCUACGUUCUCCAGAAAAUGAACAUAGAUAUUAGAGCUCUAGAGAAGGGUUUAGAUCUAUUGUGUGCCCAUCCUAAUGUUUAUUUGGCUGGUUUACCAUGUUUUACUGAUCCCACUCCCGAGGUACGAGUUUGCUUUCAGAAUAUGGAUAUGAAAAUCACACAAAUAAACAUGUUAAGACAACAACAACAACUGACAGAUCAACAAAAUUAUAUGCAGAUGUGCAAUGUUCGUCUGGAACAAAUGGAAUGUGAAAUGGGAGCAUGGAGAAGACGUCAACAGGCACCAUGUGAUAACGCCAUCUUGGGUUUAAGAAACGAGUUGGAAUGUAAAUUAUUACCGGAGCACUGUCUUAGUAUGUUUCCAAGUCAAGUCCAACAACACUGUUCUCCAAUGAACUUUUACAUCCAGGAACGUGUCCAUUAUGCCGGAGCCACAGCCACAACAGUAACCGUUUCUACUUUGAUAACCAUGGUUAUUUUUGCUACAUACUUUAAGGAAUAACCACUUUGUCAUAUGAACUCUAAAAUGCUGACUUACUGGUUUACCGAUGUUAAAGCCGCUGAACAUCAUUUGCAUUUUGCGGAGAUUGUCUAAUUCUCUAUUCUCAAAUGUACCCAGAUCAAUUUUUUAUCUUUUAAUUAAGAACACAAAACCAAAAUAUCAACGGUAGAUAAUGUCCUGGCCUGUGUACAAUUGGAUUAAAAAAAGUACAUCAAAAUAUUUUAAAGACACUUAUAGGUGGCACUGGCUUGUUUAUGUUGCGAAAAUUUUAAUUUAUCAUAUCUUUGUAAAUACUGAACGUUGUGAAUUGAUAUUCCUUUUAGAUAUUCCACUUUCACAAUAUUCCACUUUCAAAAUAUUCCACUUUCACAAUAUUCCAGUUUGAAAGAGAUUCAGCGUCUUUAAUAAAAAUAUUUUACGAUAUUUUCUGAAGAUUUGUUGCAAUAAAGACUUACAGAAAAUGUUUGAAUGCGACUCCAUUUUGUAAUUUAUAUAAUAAUCAUAAUGUACAUAAAUAGCUCAUAUAUUUGAAACUUUGAUUGUAUUUGAAUGAAGUCUAAUCGACUGAUGAAACAAUGAAAGACUUUUUUUUCACUCAUCAUUAUUUUCAUUAUUGUAAAUAAUUCAAAUAUUAUUAUUAUUAUAAAGACAACGAUUUGUCUUCUACAGUAGUAGCAUUGUCCCAUUGUACAGAAGUCAAUAUAUACGUUAUUAGUUGUAUAUUGGUUUGAUAUUAAAUAUAUCUUAUUUUUUAAGUUUCUUAGUGUUCAGUUGAAAAUAUAAUGGUUUAUGGAACACAAUUACUAUGGUGUCUUUUGAAUAUAUGUCUUUUAUUAUAUAAUUUUAUUUCUUAGUUAGUUUUUCAGGGUAAUCCACAAUGGAAAUCUCAUAAAAAACUUCAUAUCCCAAAUUCCGAAAUUCCACAUUUGUUCAAAGUUAUUAAA